GUCAAGUUAUUAAGGGUGCAGGGUGGAUGCCUUGGCACUAGGAGCCGAUGAAGGACGUGAUAAGCUGCGAUAAGCUUCGGGGAGUUGCACGUAAACUUUGAUCCGAAGAUUUCCGAAUGAGGAAACUCACUUAGAGUAAUGUCUAAGUAUCAUUAAGUGAAUACAUAGCUUAAUGAGGGGAACUCAGGGAACUGAAACAUCUAAGUACCUGAAGGAAGAGAAAGAAAUUCGAUUCCGUAAGUAGCGGCGAGCGAACGCGGAUUAGCCCAAACCAAUAAAGUUUUCUUUAUUGGGGUUGCGGACAUAUCAUAACGAAGAGGUAUCGUAAUUGAAGAGGUUUGGAAAGACCCACCACAGAAGGUAAUAGUCCUGUAUGUUAAACGAGAAGACUUCAGAUAUGAUCCAGAGUACCACGGGACACGUGAAACCCUGUGGGAAGCAGGAGGGACCACCCUCCAAGGCUAAAUACUACCUAGUGACCGAUAGCGUAUAGUACCGUGAGGGAAAGGUGAAAAGAACCCCGGGAGGGGAGUGAAAUAGAACCUGAAACCCUGCACUUACAAGCUGUGGAAGCACAUUUCUUGUGUGACCGCGUACUUUUUGUAGAACGGGCCAACGAGUUACGUUAAGUAGCAAGGUUAAGCACUUAAGGUGCGGAGCCGUAGCGAAAGCGAGUUUUAACUGAGCGUUCAGUUACUUGACGUAGACCCGAAACCGGGCGACCUACCCAUGAGCAGGAUGAAGCGAAAGUAAAAUUUCGUGGAGGUCCGAACCCACGAGCGUUGAAAAGCUCGGGGAUGACUUGUGGGUAGCGGUGAAAUUCCAAUCGAGCCCGGAGAUAGCUGGUUCUCCCCGAAAUAGCUUUAGGGCUAGCCUCAAGGUGAGAGAUACGGAGGUAGAGCACUGAAUGUCCUAGGGGGUAUUGCACCUACCGAAGACUAUCAAACUCCGAAUGCCGUCAUCUUAUACUUGGGAGUCAGACUGUGGGUGAUAAGAUUCAUAGUCGAAAGGGCAACAGCCCAGAUCGUCAGCUAAGGUCCCUAAAUGUAAGUUAAGUGGUAAAGGAUGUGGGAUUGCACAGACAACCAGGAUGUUGGCUUAGAAGCAGCCACUCAUUCAAAGAGUGCGUAAUAGCUCACUGGUCGAGUGAUCCUGCGCCGAAGAUUUCCGGGGCUAAAACUUACUACCGAAGCUACGGCAUCAGUAAUGAUGGGUAGGGGAGCUUCCCAUACGGGUUGAAGCAUGACCGUAAGGACAUGUGGACAGUAUGGGAGUGAGAAUGUUGGCAUGAGUAGCGAGAUGUGGGUGAGAAUCCCACAGGCCGUAAACCCAAGGUUUCCAGGGGAAGGUUCGUCCGCCCUGGGUUAGUCGGGACCUAAGCUGAGGCCGAAAGGCGUAGGUGAUGGACAACAGGUUGAUAUUCCUGUACUACCGAUAACCGUUUGAGAGAAGGGAUGACACAGUAGGAUAAGCUAAGCACACUGUUGGUUAUGUGUGCCCAAGCAUUGAGGCAGUCAAAGUAGGCAAAUCCGCUUUGAUAAUGCUGGGAUGUGAUGGGGAGCGAAAUUUAGUAGCGAAGUAGCUGAUUUCACACUGUCAAGAAAAGUCUCUAUCGAGGUUAAAGGUACCCGUACCGCAAACCGACACAGGUGGGUGAGGAGAGUAUCCUAAGGCCAGCGAGAGAACUGUUGUUAAGGAACUCGGCAAAAUGACCCCGUAACUUAGGGAUAAGGGGUGCCACCAUCAGGUGGCCGCAGAGAAUAGGCCCAAGCGACUGUUUACCAAAAACAUAGGUUUCUGCUAAGUCGCAAGACGAUGUAUAGGAGCUGACGCCUGCCCGGUGCUGGAAGGUUAAGGGGAUCUGUUAGAGCAAUCGAAGCAGUGAACUUAAGCCCCAGUAAACGGCGGCCGUAACUAUAACGGUCCUAAGGUAGCGAAAUUCCUUGUCGGGUAAGUUCCGACCCGCACGAAAGGCGUAACGAUUUGGGCACUGUCUCAACAACAGACUCGGUGAAAUUGUAAUUCCGGUGAAGAUGCCGGAUACCUGCGACAGGACGGAAAGACCCCAUGGAGCUUUACUGUAGCUUGACAUUGGGUUUUGGUACUACAUGUACAGGAUAGGUGGGAGGCUUUGAAACCAGGACGCCAGUUUUGGCGGAGCCAUCCUUGGGAUACCACCCUUGUAGUACUGGGACUCUAACCAUAGGCCAUGAAUCUGGUCUUGGGACACUGUCAGGCGGGCAGUUUGACUGGGGCGGUCGCCUCCCAAAAGGUAACGGAGGCGCUCAAAGGUUCUCUCAGUACGGUCGGAAAUCGUACGUAGAGUGUAAAGGCAAAAGAGAGCUUGAUUGCAAGACAUACAGGUCGAGCAAGGAUGAAAAUCGGACUUAGUGAUCCGGUGGUUCUGCGUGGAAGGGCCAUCGCUCAACGGAUAAAAGCUACCCUGGGGAUAACAGGCUUAUCUCCCCCAAGAGUCCACAUCGACGGGGAGGUUUGGCACCUCGAUGUCGGCUCAUCACAUCCUGGGGCUGUAGUAGGUCCCAAGGGUUGGGCUGUUCGCCCAUUAAAGUGGUACGCGAGCUGGGUUCAGAACGUCGUGAGACAGUUCGGUCCCUAUCCGUCGCAGGCGUAGGAAAUUUGAGAAGACCUGUCCUUAGUACGAGAGGACCGGGAUGGACGUACCUCUGGUGUACCAGUUGUUCUGCCAAGGGCAUGGCUGGGUAGCUAUGUACGGAAUGGAUAAGCGCUGAAAGCAUCUAAGCGCGAAGCCAACUUCAAGAUAAGAUUUCCCACCGCAAGGGUAAGACCCCAGAAAGACUAUCUGGUUGAUAGGUCGAAGGUGUAAGUGCAGCAAUGUAUUUAGCUUAUCGAUACUAAUAGGUCGAGGACUUGAC
rnacentral:rRNA from 1 species